UACCUUUCAAAUACCUACGCUUAAUCAUUUUCAACCUACCAAGUCACCAAGCAUAACCACUUUCAAAACAAAAAAACACCUUUAAAGUCCCUAUACUUAAUCAUUUUCAUCCUACCAAGUCACCAAGCAUAACCACUUUCAAAACAAAAGAUCCACCUUUAAAGUUCCUACACUUAAUCAUUUUCAACCAACCAAGUCACCGAGCAUAACCACUUUCAAAACAAAAAAACACCUUUAAAAUCUCUACACUUAAUCAUUUUCAACCUACCAAGUCACCA
rnacentral:lncRNA from 1 species